rnacentral:rRNA from 1 species
CCUAACACAUGCAAGUCGAGCGGAUGAAGGGAGCUUGCUCCUGGAUUCAGCGGCGGACGGGUGAGUAAUGCCUAGGAAUCUGCCUGGUAGUGGGGGAUAACGUCCGGAAACGGGCGCUAAUACCGCAUACGUCCUGAGGGAGAAAGUGGGGGAUCUUCGGACCUCACGCUAUCAGAUGAGCCUAGGUCGGAUUAGCUAGUUGGUGGGGUAAAGGCCUACCAAGGCGACGAUCCGUAACUGGUCUGAGAGGAUGAUCAGUCACACUGGAACUGAGACACGGUCCAGACUCCUACGGGAGGCAGCAGUGGGGAAUAUUGGACAAUGGGCGAAAGCCUGAUCCAGCCAUGCCGCGUGUGUGAAGAAGGUCUUCGGAUUGUAAAGCACUUAAGUUGGGAGGAAGGGCAGUAAGUUAAUACCUGCUGUGGGACGUACCA